CCCAAAGCUUUCCAACAAAUUCACAAUGCAAUAUAAGAUGAACCGGCAACUCUCAAUCCUUCUUUCACUCAACAAACCUUCCUAUCUUCUACAUGUUAUUUUUAGUAAAUAUGACUCCCAAGACUGCAGUCUAAGAAAAGAAAGUCACCUUUCUCAAAAACCCUAUCCUCCAAAUGCUCUUCCAUGGGAAACUCGAAGAAACUAUGAAGACCCCACCUUAUGUAAUCUCCACAUCCACUAAGAGAACCUAAACCCAGUAAUAUGAAUAAUAA
rnacentral:lncRNA from 1 species